UGGGGUGUAGCUCAGUGGUAGACUGCUUGCCUUGCAUGUGUGAGGCCCUGGGUUUGAUCCUCAGCACCACAA
rnacentral:tRNA from 1 species